AAGUCGUAACAAGGUUUCCGUAGGUGAACCUGCGGAAGGAUCAUUAACAAAUCUUGACGGUCACUAGAAGUGAUGAUGAAUGAUAAUAUUCACCACAUUAUUCUAGUGAUCACAUUGACUCGGGCGCUACUCUGAUCUCUCUUCCCCCUCUCCUUUAAAAUGGUGAGGGGAGGGAGAUUAGUGAAGAUUGCCCUGAGACACCACAUACACGCUUGUUUUGUUUGACUGAGUUAUGGUGAAAAUUAAAUAAUGACAACUUUUAACAAUGGAUCUCUUGGCUCUU
rnacentral:misc_RNA from 1 species